UCCUCAGAAUUCCUGCAAAGGAAGAAGAGUGAGAGAGAAGGACUGAGAGAAGGUUUGAGAGAGAGAGAACGGAUUUGCCGGAGUUUUCGUCGGAGAGUCGCCUAUAGGAUCCAUUCCCUACUAAGACCUGUACUCUGGAGCCCUUCUUGGAGUGAAGUAAGAACUCGUGUGGAGAUUUCCUCCUCUUCCCUCAAGAUCAGAAACAAAAAAAAAAAAACCCAAGGGAAGAUUCGCCGCUGAUCUUGGUGAGGAAAACGGACGAAACGACGAGAUCGGAGAGACCACCCAAGAACGGAGGAGGGAGAAAACCGCCGGCGUACCACGUGGCAACCAGCUAGAGGGCCGCGUGCGCCAAUCGCCCCCGGACACGCGUCGAGCGCCGCCUGGGAAAACGCGGCUCCAGCUCUCCUGCAACACGCGUCUCUGGCUACGCGACCCGGACCCGCGACUGCAGAAAUCUCUGGGCGCGUGACACUCGCGCGUGGGAUCUGCGAGUGGCUGCUCCCCGGCGUGUGACUGGCGCGUGGAGGCGCGUGACCUUAUUGAGGAAAAAUCACCCCCUCUCGAUACGCCAAGUGUGUGGAAACGCUGCGUAAGGGCACGUAGCAUCCAAGUACGUGAGGCGUCGAGUCAAGAGAGGGCGCGUCGAUCGAUGUGGGUUGUCACAGAGGAAGCGUGUCCCGGGGCGUCAGUCUAGUAUAUUGAAUAGUUCACUUUGACCUUAAUGUUUCUUUUCGUGUUUUUACCUGGGCACUUAUGUCCUUUUAAUAAAGAUACGUUUUUCUUUGAAACAAAUGACUUCCUUGAAUUUCUCGUUUAUACAUUACAUGUCAUACAAUGUUAGUCACGGCUUAAGGAUUAUGUUUUUUUUUCGGGUCGUGACAGAAAAGGUCCCCACACAUCAAUGUUCAAGUUCAAAUGGCUUUGUAGUAAGAGAUAAUGAAGAAUUAAAGGGAAGUGCAUGUGACUUUCUUUGUUGACAAAGACUCCCGAAAGAAGAUUUUAUCACUAAUAGACCAACUCAGUUUACAAAACUUCAAGGCAGUAGCAAUGACUCUAUCUCAAAUGUAUGCCUAGGACGUUGGCUCAACAUUAUUUAAAGCCGUAGAAGCAUUAAGGAAAUGAAUAACCUAGGUCUUUGUAUAAAAGGAAGUUCUAGAAGCGGU